GUAAGCGUUUAGUAUACCACUAGGAUUACUCGCCACACAUUUUCCUGCAGCGUCUCAACGCAUAUAUUGAUGUGGAGUAGGGCAAAGGGAGUCAUAAUUUUUGGUAUCAAUGACCUUCACCGCGUUGUUGUCGUUGUCAUCGUCACAUUUCUUGUUGAUGGGCCACCGUACUAUUUAUAUGCUUGUACAAACACAAGUAUGCGUUCAUAUGGCUGGGUGUAUUGAUAUGGUUUCUGCAAUUCUUUUUGGUUAUUGCAGCUCUUUUUAAUUUGUAUGGACAUGUACGACUAUAUUAUUCGUAGCAGAGACAUCUACUGUUUAGGUUUACCUCGUUUAUAAUUGUGGACAAAUUAAAGAAAUCUUAAGAAAUGUAAAACCAAAACUUAUGUAUAUGUAUAUUUUCGCUCUCUGCACAUAUGUAUGUACAUAUGUUUGAUAUACAAAUGACAUCAACAAUAGUUGAAACU